UCCACUGUGGCAUAGUGGUUUGAGUGCUAGACUAGAACAUUGGGAGACCAGGGUUCAAAUCCCUGCUCAGCCA